UACGAAGGGGGCUAGCGUUGCUCGGAAUCACUGGGCGUAAAGGGUGCGUAGGCGGGUCUUUAAGUCAGGGGUGAAAUCCUGGAGCUCAACUCCAGAACUGCCUUUGAUACUGAAGAUCUUGAGUUCGGGAGAGGUGAGUGGAACUGCGAGUGUAGAGGUGAAAUUCGUAGAUAUUCGCAAGAACACCAGUGGCGAAGGCGGCCCACUGGCCCGGUACUGACGCUGAGGUGCGAAAGCGUGGGGAGCAAACAGG
rnacentral:rRNA from 1 species